UCAAAAUGUACCUUAACUAAAGCCCUUUGUUUACACCGAAAACAUAACUGUUAAAAUCAGUUCAUUUUGA
rnacentral:tRNA from 1 species